rnacentral:lncRNA from 1 species
GAAUCGCGAUCUAAGAAGCUUGAUUUUGAUACAUAAAGUAGUGGGGAAUCACCAGGAAGUUUAAUAAAUCUCAUAGGAGUUACGAUGAAGAAGGUAUCCCACUUUCAAAUCAUGUUUUCCUAUUUGGGAAUAUGACAACUUCUUCGUCAUUCUAAUCAAACCAGGAUGAACGCGAUGUAAGAAGCUUGCUUCUGAUACAUAAAGUACUGGAGAAUCACUAGGAAGUUGAAUAAAUCUCAUAGGUGUUAGGAUGAAGAAGCUAUCCCACUUUCAAAUCAUGUGAUCCCAGUUUUCCUGUUUGGGAAUAUGACA